ACUCGCAGGUCCGGGAACAUCUUCCUCUUUUAGGCUGGAUUUACCAGUACAUGGUGAAUUUCAUUUGUUAGCUUCAGUCCUGCUCUGCCAAAUCUCA
ensembl:lncRNA